GUAUAUAUCUUGUUUUUUAGGAUGGAAAGUUGAUAUUUAUUGAAACACCAUAUAAAGUAUCGUUAUCCAUGUCUAUGUGCAUGGAGUAACUCUCUGCUUCUCUCAAAUGUUGCUUCCUGCAACUCACUUCCACUUCCACUUCCACUUCCAAUCCUUUCCUUCUUCUUCUUAUUCUUCUUCCUCUUCUUCAUAUUCAUUUUCUUCAUCACUGCACAUAUUCCCUCUUCAUUUCCCCAAACCCAAACUCAAAUUCCUCAUUCGUUGCUCCCACUCCGAAGCCGAAACCCUCCCUGACUCUGCCAUUCAGCGAAUAGCCGACAAGCUCCGCAGCCUUGGCAUCGACGACCAGUCCUCCUCUUCUCUUCCCGCUACAGCCUCUGGCGCCGGCGAGAUCUUCGUACCGCUUCCGGAGAACCUGCCGAAGCGGCGCGUCGGGCACACGAUCGACCCGAGCUGGGCGAAGCAGGAGGAGCGGGUGCCGACGCUGGCGGAGCUGAGCCUGCCAAAUGCGGAGAUAAAGCGGCUGACGACGGUGGGGUUGAGGAUAAGGCAGAAGCUGCGGGUGGGGAAGGCGGGGAUCACGGAAGGGAUCGUGAACGGGAUUCAUGAACGGUGGAGGAAUUCAGAGGUCGUGAGAAUCGCGUGCGAUGAUCUCUCUAGAUUUAACAUGAAAAGGACUCAUGACUUGUUGGAGAGAAAAACUGGAGGCCUUGUUGUUUGGAGAUCUGGAAGUAAGAUAAUAUUAUACAGAGGGCCUGAUUAUAAGUACCCUUACUUCCUAUCUGAUAAAGUUUUGAGAGAUGACCAAAGUGGUGAUGCUUUGCAACAUCAUAUGGAUGAGAAUGAUAAAGGUUGGGAUAAAAGAGAGACCCACUUGUCUGAAAAUAAUUCAGUGACAUACACUAGGCAAAGCUUAAAUGCCCAAACGGCAAAACCAGCUUUGAUACAAGGUGUUGGGACUCCCAGAAAAGUAAGAUUUCAACUGCCAGGUGAGGCGGAGCUUGCUAAAGAUGCAGACUACUUGUUAACAGGGAUUGGGCCACGCUUUUUUGAUUGGUGGGGAUAUGAUCCUCUGCCUGUUGAUGCUGAUCUUCUACCAGCUGUUAUUCCUGGAUAUAGAAAGCCUUUUCGCCUUCUUCCAUAUGGUGUGAAGCCGAAACUGACAGAUGAUGAAAUGACCACAAUGAGAAGGCUUGGCAAACAUUUACCAUGUCAUUUUGCACUAGGUAGAAACAGGAAACUACAAGGAUUGGCUGUUGCAAUUAUUAAGAUUUGGGAAAGAUGUGAGAUUGUCAAGAUUGCUAUAAAGAGAGGUGUGGAGAAUACUGAUGGCGAGGUAAUGGCUGAAGAGAUAAAGUAUCUGACUGGAGGUACUCUCCUUGCUCGGGAUAAAGAAUUCAUUGUUUUCUAUAGAGGAAAGGACUUCUUGCCAGCUGCAGUGUCAUCAGCAAUUGAACAACGGAGGAGUAUUGGAAUGUAUAAGCUGAAAACUGGAAAUAGUUUGUCAAUUACAGAUGCUCCAGAUCUGAAUUAUGGAACCAUAGAGUAUGAUUCCGAAGUGCAGGGUAUGAACUUCCAGAAAGAUACUAAACCCGGAAUAUUGACUGAGGCUGAGAAAACUACUAAAAGCACCAGCAUAAAAUUGUCAAUGGCACUAGAAGAGAAAACAAAGGCUGAGAAACUUCUAGCAGAGCUGGAAAAUGCAGAGAGCCCCCAAGAAGAAGAAAUGAAUAGAGAGGGUAUUACUGAAGAAGAGAAAUACAUGUUGCGGAGGAUUGGCUUGAAGAUGGGUCCCUUCCUGUUACUAGGUAGACGGGGUGUUUUUGAUGGAACGGUAGAAAAUAUGCAUCUUCAUUGGAAGUAUCGAGAACUUGUGAAGAUAAUAUGUAAUAAAUGCCUGGAAGAUGUCCAACAGAUAGCUCAGACCUUAGCGGCAGAAAGUGGUGGAAUAUUAAUUGCAGUAGAAAGACUACGCAAGGGCCAUGCAAUCAUUGUGUAUCGUGGAAAGAAUUAUAGUCGGCCUGCAAGUUUGAGGCCUCGAACACUUUUAAAUAAAAGAGAAGCAUUGAAGCGCUCUAAGGAAGCACAGCGUCGCCAGUCAUUGAAGCUCCAUGUUUUGAAGCUAGGUAGGAACAUAGACAGAUUGAAACUUCAAAUGGCUCAAGAUAUGGAGGCAAACAGUCCGCAGACUCCUGUUGACAACCAACAAGCAAUAAAGGAGCAACGAAUUGAGCUGAGUGAUAGUUAUGGAGCUCAUCAAGUUGAACCAGGAAAUUCCAUAAAUUGGAAUUCUCCUCAUGAACCUUCUGUCGACAACCGACAAGCAAUACAGGAGCAGUCAGUUGGGCUGGUUGAUGGUGGUGGAGCUCUUAAAAGUGAAGCUGACAAUUUCAUAAAUUGGAACCCUACCACAGAAACUUCUGUUGAUAAUCCACGAGCAAUGCAAGGGCAGCCAGUUGAGCUGAUAGAUAAUAGUGAAGCUCAUCAAGGUGAACCAGAAAUUUCUGCAAAUUGGAAAUUGCCUGAAGAAGCUCCUGUUGACAAUCAAGAAGCAAUACAGGAUCAGCCUGUUGAGCUGGUUGAUGGUGGUGGAGCUCUUAAAAGUGAGGCUGACAAUUUCAUAAAUUGGAACCCUACCAUAGAAACUUCUGUUGAUAAUCCACGAGCAAUGCAGGGGCAGUCAGUUGAGCUGAUAGAUAAUGGUGAAGCUCAUCAAGGUGAACCAGAAAUUUCUGCAAAUUGGAAUUUGCCUGAAGAAGCUCCUGUUGACAAUCAGGAAGCAAUACAGGAUCAGCCUGUUGAUCUGAUUGAUGGCGGUGGAGCUCAUCAAGAUAGACCAGUAUACUGGCCUGGUGUGAUUCCUAAAAAUACAGUUUUAGAUGGAGUUAGUGAUUCUGUGGAUGGCGUCUCAAUUAACAAGGUAAUGGAAUCAUCAGUCAUAUCAUCGAAGAGUGAUGCUGACCUAUCAGCUCUGGUGAGAGAUAUGAGUUCAAAUGAGUUACCUUCUGGAUCUGUGUAUCUUUCCAACAAAGAGAGACUUCUUCUGCGAAAGCAGGCACUAACUAUGAAAAAGCGGUCUGUCCUUUCUGUAGGAAAGAGCAAUAGUGUAACUGGUAUUGCGAAAGCUAUCAAUGCUCACUUCCGGAAAUACCCUCUUGCCGUAGUUAAUGUCAAAGGAAGGGCAAAAGGGACCUCAGUUCAGGAGGUGGUGUCCAAGCUAGAGCAAGCAACAGGUGCCGUUCUGGUCUCUCAGGAGCUUCACAAAGUCAUACUGUACAGGGGUUGGGGGGAAGGAGAGCAACCUAGCACUGCUAUAAAUGUUAACAAACUGGGUCAAGAGGGAGCGGCAAAGCCCAGUGUCUCUCCUGAGCUCUGGGAAGCUAUCAGAAUUGAAUGCGGAUUGCAGUAACUAACAUAACAUUGCUGCUCAUUACUGAUAAAAAACAUUGCCAAUUUUCUCAUCAACACAACACUAGGGUUUAUAGAGAUAGAUCUACUUAGUCCAAAUAACAUGGGAAUUGGUGGAAAAGAAAUAGGAAAUACACAAAAGGGAGAGGUUAAGUGUCUAAACUUCUGUCUGUAUAAACUCAUGUAAUGGCUCCCUGAUCAAUUCAACCAUGGAUAGGUAAGUGUAGAAGUCCGUGAUCAACAAUCAAAGUCAAUUAUGGCGAUGUGGCAAGUGACGUUGGAUAGUUGAUGUGGGCAGAGUGUUGAAUGUUAGUAAUGUGGUAGGUGACUAGGCAAAGCAGGUGCCGUCUUUGAUUGAUGAUUGGACGUGACACAAGUUUUGCAUUUGUAAGAAUAUAUUUCGGAAUGUCUUUUUCAGGAUUUAGGGUUGGACUCUACUCAUUUCCGGAGUGAAAGUGCUGGACUCAAUAUUUUCUCUUUUUCAAAAUUCUCCUAAAAGGUAUCAUUUCUAUUGCUAUGCUCUUUGAGAAAGUGCAAAUACAGACUGCAAAGUGAAUGCACCAAACUGGAAUUGAAUGUUGAUUCAUACAUCAUUUUCUUAUGUAAUUAGAUGUUAAUUGAUACGUCAUUCUCUUAUUCAUAUAACUUCUUUUACAGACA